GCGUCCGAGUCCCGCGGCGUUUGAGCGCGAGCGCUGAACCGUCUCUUCGUCGCCAGGCCGACGGGACGCGGAGGGGAGAACGCUCAAACCCCUGUCUGCGGCGGUCUCAGCGCCCCGUCCACCUCACGGAAUUAAUCUUCCCCCCUCCCGGCUCUGCGGGGUCGGCGGCGGCAGGGGUUCGAUUUUGCAAUGACUGUGAAAUUUUUGACGGCCAGAACUGCAACCGAAAAAUGAAAAAUUGCUGGAAGAUUCAUACACCAUUUCAAAACAGGAGUUGCCGCACAGAUCACUUUUACUUUUAUGAUCGCCUUACAGGGAGAUACCUGUAUCGUUAUACAACACUAUCAUGUGAAACUUGUGAAGAGGGAAUGUUCCAGGUAUUCCAUGAUCUCCUGAGAGAAACAUAUUGCUGUAAAGAUAAUGACAGGUGCAAUGACCCUAAUGAUAUACCAGACAUUACAAGGGAAUAUGUGUCACAUGACGUAGACAGAAUUGUUAAAAAAUAAAAUAAUUAAG